AUUAUUGGUGGCCUGGUAUGAAGAGGGAUAUAGCUGACUAUGUGACUAAGUGUUUGACAUGUCAGCAAGUUAAAGCAGAACAUCAAGUUCCAUCAGGAUUGCUACAACCUAUAAGCAUACUUGUAUGGAAAUGGGACUGGAUCACCAUGGAUUUUGUCAGUGGUCUACCUUUCACCCAGAAGAAGCAUGAUGCAGUAUGGGUGAUAGUGGAUAGAUUGACGAAGUCA
rnacentral:misc_RNA from 1 species